rnacentral:rRNA from 1 species
GACGAACGCUGGCGGCGUGCCUAAUACAUGCAAGUCGAACGCAGUGGGGACGGGUGAGUAACACGUGGGUAACCUCCCAUCAGAGGGGAGAACACUUGGAAACAGGUGCUAAACCGAUACUGAUGGAUGGACCCGCGGUGCAUUAGCUAGUUGGUGAGGUAACGGCUCACCAAGGCCACGAUGCAUAGCGGACCUGAGAGGGGGAUCGGCCACACUGGGACUGAGACACGGCCCAGACUCCUACGGGAGGCAGCAGUGGGGAAUCUUGGGCAAUGGGCGAAAGUCUGACCGAGCAACGCCGCGUGAGUGAAGAAGGCUUUCGGAUCGUAAACCUCUUUUGGUAGGGAAGCGGUACCUAACCAGAAAGCCCCGGCUAACUACGUGCCAGCCGCCGCGGUAAUUC